rnacentral:tRNA from 1 species
ACAAAAUGUAGCUUAAACCAAAGCACCUAAUUUACACUUAGAAGAUUUCAAUUCAAAAAUGAACAUUUUGA